rnacentral:rRNA from 1 species
CUAAACCAUGCACCGAAGCUGCGGCAGCGACGCUGAUGCGUUGUUGGGUAGGGGAGCGUUCUGUAAGCCUGCGAAGGUGUGCUGUGAGGCAUGCUGGAGGUAUCAGAAGUGCGAAUGCUGACAUAAGUAACGAUAAAGCGGGUGAAAAGCCCGCUCGCCGGAAGACCAAGGGUUCCUGUCCAACGUUAAUCGGGGCAGGGUGAGUCGACCCCUAAGGCGAGGCCGAAAGGCGUAGUCGAUGGGAAACAGGUUAAUAUUCCUGUACUUGGUGUUACUGCGAAGGGGGGACGGAGAAGGCUAUGUUGGCCGGGCGACGGUUGUCCCGGUUUAAGCGUGUAGGCUGGUUUUCCAGGCAAAUCCGGAAAAUCAAGGCUGAGGCGUGAUGACGAGGCACUACGGUGCUGAAGCAACAAAUGCCCUGCUUCCAGGAAAAGCCUCUAAGCAUCAGGUAACAUCAAAUCGUACCCCAAACCGACACAGGUGGUCAGGUAGAGAAUACCAAGGCGCUUGAGAGAACUCGGGUGAAGGAACUAGGCAAAAUGGUGCCGUAACUUCGGGAGAAGGCACGCUGAUAUGUAGGUGAAGUCCCUCGCGGAUGGAGCUGAAAUCAGUCGAAGAUACCAGCUGGCUGCAACUGUUUAUUAAAAACACAGCACUGUGCAAACACGAAAGUGGACGUAUACGGUGUGACGCCUGCCCGGUGC